GACGAAGGAUGCAAGCGUUAUCCGGAUUCAUUUGGGUUUAAAAGGGAGCGUAGGUGGUUCUUAUAAGUCAGUGGUGAAAUCUCUGGGCUUAACCCAGAAAUUGCCAUUGAUACUGUAGGACUUGAGUACAGUUGCUGUGGGCGGAAUAUGACAUGUAGUGGUGAAAUACAUAGAGAUGUCAUAGAACACCGAUUGCGAAGGCAGCUCACAAAACUGUAACUGACACUGAGGCUCGAAAGUGCGGGGAUCAAACAGG
rnacentral:rRNA from 1 species